CUCGCCAUAACAAUGCAUUUCAAGGAACAUACACGCGCCAAGGAAUGUUUUCUGUCGCUGAGUAGCUAACGUUAACUUUUCACACGUUUAACGGUUUUGCCUGCUCAGGUAAACGCUGCCGUUAACGUACAGGCCAUUUUUCGGUUUCCGGAGAAAACGGACAACGCUACCCUAUGCAGCAGUUGGAAGCGUGUGUUAGCUGGCUAGCGUUAGCAGGCUAAUAGCAGCUCCGUCCGACAUUGUCAGAAAUCUGUUGGAGGAAACAGCAGUCGGUUGAAAGUCAGGGUUAAGACAAUCAGAGGCAACAUACAAGUGCCUCCACUGUACGGUUUCCUUUCCCAGAGUGUGACUCGUCUGCACGACGUCACCAAUGCGACCAUGGGAAAUAGCAGUAAAUAGGCUGCCACCAACAGCCCCCUUAAACCCGAGGAGGUUCCUUGGAGAGCCCUGCAACGCCCCAGUGCACCUCAGGAGAAGCCCACCAGUGAGACGCCAGUGGGGGAGACGAGACAGACCUGUACUGCACAGCUCCCUGGUCCAGGAUGAGAACUUCCAUCAUCUGCUUUUCUCCCAACAUCACCAACAGGUUCCUUUAGAUGAGUCCAGACAAUACAGCCACACCAGCACACCACCACGCAUGCUUCACCCUGCUGCUCACCUGCCCCAGCAGAGCCCCAUCAUGGUGGAUCUACACGACCAGAUGCACCAGGGAUCAGUUCCAAUAUCAUACACUGUUACGACGGUGACGACCCACGGAUUUCCCAUCCACACCGGGCAGCCCCUUCCAGGGUGCAACACUCAGCAGCUUCCAGCAUGCUCGGUAAUGUUCAGCGGACAGCUCUCUCUGCUCUGCUGCCUUCCUCCUCCUCUCAUACAGGCAUGUACCAUGCAGCAUAUGCCAGUGUCUUAUCAAGCCUUUCCACCCCUGAUCUCCAGCGAACAUUUUGUAUUGCACCCAACCCCAUCUGUACCCCCCCACCAGCCGCCGCACCUUACUCCUUUGAGCCAGUUUGUCCCUUUACAGCCUCAACACCCACGCAUGCCUCUACAGAGGGUAGAGAAUGAAGUUGACCUAAGAGGGGACCAGCACCCAUUAGGGACCUUCUCCUAUCCUCCCUCUCAUCACCCACCAGCGCUGCCUCCUUCUCUGCCCUUACAGUAUCUUCCUCAAGAGCCUCUGCAUCAGGAGCUUCCCUUUGGAGUGCCAUAUCCCCACAUGCUGCCCAGGCGAGUUAGUGGACAGAGAUAUCGGUUGCAGCAACCUCUACCCCCUCCUCCUCCCCCUCCAUCUUACUACCCAGGCUUCCUCCCUUACUUCCUGUCAAUGCUUCCUGUGCCUCCAGCAGCAGUGGGCCCAGCCAUCAGUCUAGAUUUGGAUGUAGAUGAUGUGGAGAUGGAGAACUAUGAGGCAUUACUGAAUCUGGCAGAGAGGUUGGGUGAAGCCAAACCACGUGGACUCACUAAGGCAGAUAUAGAGCAACUUCCGUCCUACAGAUUCAACUCAGAGAAUCAUCUAUCUGAACAAACGCUGUGUGUUGUGUGCUUUAGUGACUUUGAGUGUAGGCAGCUACUUCGGGUAUUACCUUGUAACCACGAAUUCCAUGCGAAGUGUGUGGAUAAAUGGUUAAAGACCAAUCGCACUUGUCCUAUCUGCCGAGCCGAUGCCUCGGAUGUACACCGGGAGGUGGAGUGAGAACUGUGUCUAUCUCUGAGUGCUGAACUGGAAAGCUGCACACCAGAGUCUGCCCCAAAACUGGGGACACCUGCCACCCAACCUGCGUCCUCCAGUAAAUAUAGCUUACCCACCCACUACUCCCGCCCCUUCCUAAAUAAUAAGCAAUCCAGGAUUGUUUCUGGAGCCUAUUGUACCUCUGCUGUGCUUCACUGUCCAAGUCUCAUGAAACCCACUGCCUAUCGCAGCCUAUAGCCAGAGUUCUGGGAUCGCCAGCCAGUUCUUUCUCUGCCCCCUUGUUGCAGAUUCCAAAGAUUUUCCCUACAAAGCAUUAUUUGCUGCUUUUGUUUACAGGGUUUCAUUUUUAUUUGGUGGAUUUGGUUGUGGUGUUCAUGAAUAGUGGGAGUCCUGCAUCGGAGGAGGUGAGUCGGGAGCCUGGAGGAUGAUAGGCUGGACACCUUGUGCAAUUAGCAGAAAAAUAAUAGGAAUACUUCAACAUGGGUAUCUGUGUUUGGAGGCGAUGCCUGACCAUCAUAGAUGCAUGUUUGUGUAGGUGUUGGGCAAAGUGACUUGUUAAUAAUGUAUGUUCUGCAAUAAUGUAUUGAUCAUUUCAACAGUUUUACCCCUUAUUUGUUUUAGAUUUGCCAAUGCUAUUGUGAAAGCGUGACUUGCUGUGGUUAAAUGCAGAUUCUGUUAAGCCUGAGGUUAUGGACUGCGAGUGAUGGGACAUACUGUGGGGUAUCUUCUACCACAGAUUAUCCACUCUGGAACACAGAUCUGUACAAAAGCAGUCAUGGAUUAAUGGACUGCGUCUUUUCGAGGUCAUCUGGCGUAACUGCACAAGUGCUACAUCCACCCUCCAUGUCAGCAUUGUUCCUCUGGCAAAAAGCGCCAUGAGGGAAGACUAGCAUGUGGUUCCACCCUGACUACGUUUAAGGAUGGGAGUCCUCGUCCGAAGGCUGUGCUGAUGCCAUAGAGCUCUGGAGGCCUGUGCAGAAAGCAAUAUGUGCAGUGAGUGGCGAGUUUUAAAUGAACUUUCUUCCCCUUUUAGGGAGACUGGGCUUUUUAUUUCUUUGUGAGCCAAAUCCAAUACACAGAUAUAGCCUAUACUGUUCAAGAUUUCAGAUCUGCCUUCUUAUGACCUUGACAAGCACAAACCUAUUACUAAUCCUGAAAAUACUGUCAUUUCCACUUGUUUUAAAAGUAUGCCGUUUUUAAGAAAAGGUUUAUUUAUUGGUUUUAUCUUCUAGAGAAAAUACAUUGAAGGAAACAGUUGGAGCACUAACAAUGUGUUUGGUAUGUGUUAUAUUCUGGUAACUUGGUCAGGUCAUUGUCUUAGGCCAUGGUAAUGGUGUUGUAAAAGAGCAACUGUAUGUAUAGCUUCAGCGUGAAUGCUUUUAGAUAAACGUUUGAAGACAGAAGAAUGUUGAAAACCCUUGUAGAAGUCACUGGUGACGCUCCAUGAUACGCCAGCUGUCUGUAUCCCACAGUGAUCAGGACAGGGUUCAAAUGAUACAGAGCCGGAGUGCUCAGUAGUGUAGAAACACUGUUAGACUUCUAGUUCCCUGCUUGUGUUCACACUAAAACAAACAAAAAAAAAACAAAAAAACAAAAAAAAAACAGGAUACAUUUGGGGUGGGAGGGAAAAGAGCAACAAAUGGACUUUUGCUUUGAAUUCACUCUUGUCUCUUAACUGCCCCAUUAAGCACUAACAGGCAGUUGUAACCUUUGCUUUUCUGUGUAAAGGGAUCUUGCCUUUUUCUUUACUUUUGUUUAAGUGAAUGUGAGUCUUUGAUGUGUGUACCACCUUCAAGAGAAAAAAAAAGAAGCCAUUUUAAUGAGUUAACCCACAGCUUUGAGAAUUAACCUAUGUGUACAUAUCUAUUCGCUGGCAUAUAUUGUAAGUUAAAAAAAAUCACUCAGGGCCUCUCGGUAUAGAAAAAUAAAGGAGAACAGUCCAUUUCAGAUGGAAAGGAUGCCAUGAAAAGGGUAUAUCUGAAUUUAGUUUGGUCGUUUUCCUCAGACCAUAAAUAAUUUAAUGUAAUCAAUUAUAAUAUUCUGUUUUGUCGGAAAUAGUAGAUAUUACAUCAUUUAAAGACAGGCAUGCAAGAAAAAAGACCAAUAAAUAUGUUAUAAGUAUUCACUGAAAAGAGGCAAUGUACACUGCAACUCAUUACAAGUGUAUUAUUCAAACCUGUUUGACUUCUGUUCCUUUACUCGAACCACAUGUUCAACAUAGCGGUUGUGAUCCCAUUUCUAAAUGUGCCGCGGUGCACACUAUUCUACCUACUUCACUCCCAAAUCUACUUCAGAGGUGUUUGCAUGACUUAAAAAAAAAGUAAAACAAGUGUGUUAUAGUGGAGGAUAUCUCAAAAUCUGGUGGGGACCUAUUUAAUGGUGCACAAUAUGCAUGCUUGUCAACCAGAUCCCAACUGAUUUUUAGCUCUAGUUGGCUUUGGGUUCUGGGGGUUUGGAUCUUAACGCUCAGCUGAUAACUGCCAUGCAUUGUACUGCACACAUUUGUAAUAGAACUGAAUGACUACAAGAUUUUAUUGCGCUAACUUCAUUUUAUAGGAAAAAAAAAACUGGUCUUGAAUCCAGAACUUCUUACAUACAUUGUGUUACUGUUAUUGCCCUAACGACUGAAAAAUACAUGCUCUGAAACUACUGUAGUUUAUCAAAAGCCAUAGUGAAAAGGUGCUAGAUGUUCUGCUUUUAGGUAUGAAAACUCACUUGCGUGAAUGCAAUAGUUUGUCAUGGAUCCCAUGUAUUCUUAAAGCAUGUUAUACUAAUACCCCGAAACAAUGUCAGUGAAAAUCAAUAUAGUUUAAGGGAUUAAAAAAAGAAAAAAGUGUUGUCAUACUUAUUUCAGUGUAGUACUGUACCUGCCUAUCAGGCUCUUGCUCUCAGUGUAUCAAUAUCUUAAAAUGUAUUGUUCACAUAUAGAUACCUUAAUUCAUGUUAAUGUUAGCACUAUUAUUUUUGGAGUAAAUAUUUAAUUGACAGUAUCCAGAUACCAUAUUAAAUAAGAGAUCCUCCCAUUAAGGCCUAGGUAAUGAGGUCAUUUCUAAUGACAACUGAGAAUAGAGUCUUGUAGUCUUUCUGUUAAGAGUUAUUGAAUAAUCUCACAGCUUGUGUGGUGCAAAAAUGUGUUCCAAUAAGCAGCUAAAAUUUAUUUAGGAUUUGUGAUUGAUUGCUCAGUAGACGCCAUUUAUUGUUUACCAAUGACUUUUGCUGUGGUGGGAUAGUGGUUUACUGUUCUUACUCUCCCUGGCCUCUAGGGGUCCUUGCCUGAACACCAGACUACCCACCCGCCAACAGAGCCAGGGGCAUGUGUUCUGUGUUAGGCAGAUAUUUUGCUUUGGUACUUGCACAUUUACAGUUACCUCAUUUUUUCCAUGUUUGUAUUGGGGGGUGGGCGGAGAAAACAACUAAUAUAUAUUAUAUAUAGGAAAUGGUUCUUAUUAAUGUUAUAAUUUUUCAUUCCAUUGGAAUCAUAUUGUUUGUAGCAUUUAACAUAACUAGUUAGUGUAUUAUAUAUACAUCUGUAUACUGUUUGAAAUUUUUAAGAUUUGUACUUUUUUUAAAUGAAAGUUGCUAGUUAUGCUUUACCAAGUAGUGCAAUCAUAUUUUUUUUUAAUUGUUGUGGCUGAUUUGAAAGGGUUGUUCACUAAUAAAUGUAUGAUGUAUACCAA